CUAUGGAAUACUACUCAGCCAUAAGAAAAGAUGAAAUAAUGCUAUUUGUGAUAAUGUGGAUGGACCUUGUGACCAUUAGACUAAGUAAAUUAAGUCAGAAAAAGCUGAGAACGAUAUGAUUUCACUUAUAAGGGGGAUGUAAAACUGAAACUCAUAGACACAGACAACAGUAUGGUAGUUACAAGAGGGAAGGGAGUGGGAGUUGGGAGGCCAAAUACGUGGUGAUAGAUGAUGAUUUGACUGUGGCUGGAGGGCACACAAUGCAAUAUACAGAUCAUGUAUCAUAGAAAUGUACACUUGAAACCUAUCUAUUCUUAUUAUC